rnacentral:rRNA from 1 species
UACGGGGGGGGCAAGCGUUGUUCGGAAUUACUGGGCGUAAAGGGCUUGUAGGUGGCCAACUAAGUCAGACGUGAAAUCCCUCAGCUUAACUGGGGAACUGCGUCUGAGACUGGAUGGCUUGAAUUCGGGAGAGGGAUGCAGAAUUCCAGGUGUAGCGGUGAAAUGCGUAGAUAUCUGGAGGAAUACCGGUGGCGAAGGCGGCAUCCUGGACCGACAUUGACGCUGAGGAGCGAAAGCUAGGGGAGCAAACGGG